UGAAUGAUUUAUGUUGAUGUUUGGAAGUAGCGCAUCCAUGAUCUGAAAUCUAAAUUGUUUAUUGGAGUUGCAAGUGAAGAAGUUAUUUAAAAAGGGAUUUGUGUUUAAAAUUUGUUGAAAAACUCAGAGAUUAUUAGAUUUGAAUCUUAGCACAAAUACUCUUCACCUAAGAAGCACGAACACCUCGAACAUUAUCUCGACACUGACACGACCACAUUAAUAGUUAUUUAUAAAAAUUAAUAAAUUAAACGUAAUCACAAAUGUCGAUAGAAAUAUCUAACACCAACAUAGACAUACUUUUUUCAGAGGUGUCGGAGCUACAUAGCUCUCCAGUCAUUUUCUUCUCUUCCAAACCUUAUAUAGAACCACAAAUACAUGUUAUUUAUAGAUCUAAAGAAACAUAAAAUAAUAAGGCGCUGACUCCUUGUUAAACAAUCCUUACAAAACAAAUCAAAGAAGAAAUCCACAUCUUGUCGUUGACGGCUUGUAUUCUCUCCCCAUGUGAUCCAUUUUGAUUUAAUGAUUUUUGUUUGUAUUUUUUUUUACGUUUUGUUUAGGAUUUUUUAAUUUCGAAUUAUGUGAGCAUGACCAGAAAUAUCUACGGGAUAAGAGAGGCUGUUUGAUAUUUGUAAAACUCGAAUGUCGUUCAUAGAGAAAAAUAAUGACUUAAAUGAAAAACUUAAAUGAAAAACACAAUUGAUGUAGAUCAAUCAAUGAAGAAACACACUUUAAGAACAAAUGGAAAUGAAGGACACAAUGAAGUUAAGGCAAGGAAGAAGAAGAUGGAGGGAAUCAUUGAAUCGGAAAAUAAAAAAUGUGUGAUGAAUUUUUUUAAUUUAAUAUUUAAAUAAUUUAUAUUAUUUUAAUUAAAAAAUAAUCUGACAAGUAAAAGAAAUUCAUUUGCUUCAUGCCACGUCAUGUUAGAAAAUAAAAAAUGUGUGAUGAAUUUUUUUAAUUUAAUAUUUAAAUAAUUUAUAUUAUUUUAAUUAAAAAAUAAUCUGACAAGUAAAAGAAAUUCAUUUGCUUCAUGCCACGUCAUGUUAGAAAAAUUCAGUUUAAUGUUUUUAUAGACCAAAACAGUUUUAAAAUAAAAUAAAAGAUUAAUUUCAUGAUAUCGAUAAAAUAUAAUGACAAAAAAUGAAAAUAAUAUGAAAGGCAAGAAAAACUAAAAGUGCAAUAUCUUAAAAAUUAAGAGAAAAGAAGACAAUCUCUUCGAUACAUUUUGAUAUUAUAUUUCAUUUUAUUAACAUAUCUACAACUAUAAGAUUCAUAAAAUAAAAUUAUUAAUGUCAACUCAGUAAAAAAGUGAUAGGUUGUGCAAUAUUCUAGUAAGAUAUUUUUGUACUCUUUUGGAUAUAUAAUACUCACAUUAUAUUUAUCAAUACCUUCUUACACAAAUACAUUUAGCUAAAUAACACAUCGGUUUAUAAGCAAACACACUGCACAUAUUUUUUGGACAAUCUUGAUCACUAUCACAUGGAAUAUUCGCCGCUGAAAUGGAAAAAGAGAGGAAAAAAAUGUCACUAAAAUUUGAUAAAAUAUUGGCAAUGAAUAAAUAAAGAAGUCUGAAAAAAAGAAAAGAAAAAUAACUUACCCUCAACGUUCAAAACAACAAGAAAUAGAGAGAAAAAGAGAAUCAUAAUAUAAACAAACUUGAUCAUUGUAAACAUAUUUUUCACCAUUUAUCUGUACCCAACAAAAUAUGAUUUAUCACACUAUAUUUUCCACAAAUAAAUAAUUUUUGGUAUUUAUAAAGAUUGUGUUUUUUACGGUUAGCACUUUAGAGUUGUAUAAAAAAACUUCCAAUAUAAUUAAUAAUUAUUAAAUGUCUCUUUCUUUAUUUUCAUGAAAUACCUCUUAACCACAUCAAUGUGCUGUUUCUUUUCCAUCUAACUUAUUAGUGAGGAGGUCGCAUAAAAACUUGCUAAUUAUAAGAAUUUAUUCUUAUUUUACCAAGUUUUGAUAAUUUUAUAACUUUUCAUGAUAAGAAAGAGAAAAUUGAAAAAUAAUAAUAUUGUUAUUAAUUUUAUUUAUUAAGUAUCCCAAUGUGUUGUGUUUUUUCUUUAGCACACUUAGUAACACUUAGUAAGGAGAUUACAUAAAAACUUUACCGUUCAUGAAAAAAUCGUCCUUUUCUUAUUCAUCAAUUUUAUUUUUUUAAUAACCCUUCAUAAUGGUAAAAAGAAGAUGACGUAAGAGUAACCAUA
rnacentral:lncRNA from 1 species